CUUCUAGGGUUUGUGGAUCUUUCUGCUGGAUGGCCUUGCCCUUUACAAAAACAGCAAAUAUCAGUGGGAGGGUGCAUGGGGCUCUUCUCAUCUCUACAUAAUACUGUGUUGGAACCACUGAUGAGAGGGUCCCAACAACAGUGAGCUCCAUAGCACUCGUGCUUUGUCUCUCUCCUCCUCUUCACCCUCUGAGUUAAGCUCGCUGCUCUCUAUUGGAUCAUUGCUUUUUACACUUCAAGGAUCCGUGCAGAACUGAAAGAAGUUUUUGCAGGAGGAUUAAAACUUUGAAAACAACCGAUGCUGGUUUCCUUCAUCAUCUGAUGUUUAUGAGACUUUUGCUUUUUUUUUCUGGAAUAAUGCCUUUGUGCUGGAAGAGAAGCUCCUGGUUGCCAGUGGUGUUUGGGACUGCGCUGGUCGUUCUUACUGCUGGUAAUGCUGGACCGAAUCAGGACAGGAGGCAACCUCAGUCAUCCUCGUGCUUUGGAGGCUUUGAUCUCUACUUUGUUUUGGAUAAAUCUGGGAGCGUGCAGCAUCACUGGACUGAAAUCUAUCACUUUGUUGAAAAUUUAGCUCAGAAGUUCAUAAGCCCACAGUUGCGGAUGUCCUUCAUUGUGUUCUCCACUGAGGGACAGAUCUUAAUGAGGCUCACAGAAGACAGGGAACGCAUUCGCAAAGGACUGGAGGAGCUUGAGUUGGUUCGACCAGGAGGAGACACUUUCAUGCAUCUGGGCAUCAUGAGGGCCAGUGAGCAGAUAUACCACGGAAACAUAGAAGGUUAUCGCACUGCCAGUGUUAUCAUAGCUCUGACGGACGGAGAGUUACACGAAGAUCUUUUCUUCUACGCUGAGAGGGAGGCCAACCGCUCCCGAAGUCUGGGUGCCUCGGUUUACUGCGUGGGGGUGAAGGACUUCAAUGAGACACAGCUGGCAAACAUUGCUGAUAGUAAAGACCACGUCUUCCCUGUAAAUGAUGGAUUUGAGGCUCUGCAAGGAGUCAUCGAUUCAAUCCUGAAGAAGUCCUGUAUCGAGAUCCUGGCAGCAGAACCAUCCAGUAUCUGUGCAGGAGAGUCCUUCCAAGUGGUGGUGAGAGGAAGUGGAUUCCUUCACGCCCGAAAUGUUGACAAAGUGCUGUGCAGCUUUCGAAUCAACGACACCCUAACUAAGAUGGUGAAGCCAUUGGUUGUGGAAGAUACAUAUCUACUCUGCCCUGCCCCAGUGCUUGAAGAGGAGGGGAUGGCAGCAAAUCUUUAUGUCAGCAUGAACGAGGGUCUCAGUUUCAUCUCUAGCUCGGUCACAAUUACCACCGUGAGCUGUUCUGAUGGGACCAUCCUGGCCGUAGCUCUGCUCAUCCUGAUGUUGCUCCUGGUCUUGGCUCUCCUCUGGUGGUUCUGGCCUCUGUGCUGCACUGUGAUCAUCCACGAACCACCACCACCGCCAGCUGUGGAGGAUAGUUCGGAUGAUGAGGACUUUGAAGCCCCCAAGAAGAAAUGGCCGACUGUUGAUGCCUCCUACUAUGGAGGAAGAGGCGUAGGGGGGAUCAAAAGGAUGGAGGUUCGCUGGGGUGAGAAAGGCUCCACUGAAGAAGGAGCAAAGCUGGAGAAGGCCAAAAAUGCCAAAGUGAAGAUGCCUGACCAGGAGUAUGUGUCACCACCCCCUCGGGUUCUUAACAAUGGCAUGCAGAAACCGCCGGCGCCACGCAACUGGUACUCACCCAUUAAGAGCAAACUGGAUGCAUUGUGGGUGCUUUUAAGAAAAGGCUACGACCGUGUGUCUGUAAUGAGACCUCAUCCAGGUGACAAGGGCAGAUGCAUGAACUUCACCCGUGUAAAAUCCCCUCCUAGCUACCCACACUUCAACAAUCACCCAUCUCCCAUCUACAACCCGCCUGGCAGGAAUCCACCUCCACCGCAGGGCACCCUACCACCGACUCCCAGCGCGCCGCCCUUCUCCUCGCUGCCUCCAACCCCUCCACCCAUUUCCACCCCUCCCCCUUACACACCACCUCCCAACCGGGCUCUUCCUCCAACCACCUUGCACAUACCCGCCCCACCGGCGCUCUCACCCACGCCUCCGCCCUGCGCUAGCCCAACCGGCUUGCUGCCACCUCUUCCCCAGGGACCCCCUCCUGGACGAGCCCCUCCACCUGCCCGCCCUCCGCCUCGCCCUGGCCUGUAGAAGUCUGGUGGGAGACAGGAGGUGGUCACACAAGACUGAAAAACAUAAUCCAGAGUUCCACCAGCACAUAGCCAUCUUUGAUUGUAACUACGAGUGAGGUGCAACAAGGUGCCAACCUCAGCAGGCUGUAGCCUUUCAGACUUGUGACGAGGAGGAGCGAGAACUUGUUUUCAGCUAUUUGUCUACUUUUGUACACAUCUAGCCCAACAGUGCAAUUGCUUGGAUGCUUGAAUUACAUAGACAUUCCCUAUAAAUGAGAUCACGCAGGCCGGCUCAAAAACAUUUGACUGAAGACUGUAUGAAUUCUGACCGAGCAGAGGAUCAACAGCUUGUACUAACAGCUUUAUACACAGGCCCUAGAGAAGGAGUACAGUUGUCUUCUGAAUGGCCAUGUCACUAAAAUAAAUGCCACUGUAAAGUUCCUGUUUUAUAUAAGAGAAAAGAAAAACACUCAUCCUGCAAAUGUUCCACAUACAGCAGAGUAAGGAUGAUGCAGAGGCAUCUGAAAACAAUCCUUUUUUUUAAAUCCUUGAAUGUUUGCAUGCAAAAGUGCUCGAAUCAUCGUUUGUAGUUUUUUAACAUUUGUACUUGUUUUUAUACAUUUGUAAAUACUUUCAUUUUUUACUUUGUACUUGUGUAGACCACACUCUUCAUUUUGGGGAAAGAAAGACAAUCAUCGGUGAUGACGGCAUGGACAGUAAGUGUACUGAAACAGCAAUGCAAUGUAUCUGAACUUCCAGUGUUCAACUCCUGACUCGCAAACUAUUUUCAUCCAACCUAAUGUGAGCCAUGUCUGGCCCGUUUUCUGUGCUCAUUGGUGUAAACAGUAAAUUUGGCUUUACCAGAUGUAUGGCUGGAACUGACCUGACCAAGAUGACUGUAAUUACAGCUGUAGAAAGUCUUUAAUUCCUCUGAGAAUAAAAUACGAUGGAAGCCAUUUCGUGGAUGUUGAUAUGAAGCUUUUACUCUCAUCACGUCACAGUUAGCAAUCCCGUCAGUACUGUACAGUAAACACAGACUGGUGUGUGAUUCAUUUAAAAAGCAAGGAAGCAGUUUAGCUACAUAAAAUCUGACUCCGUCUUCUCAUUCUUUUCUUCAGAUGCUAAUUUGAAAAACAUUCUGUUUUACUUCCGGGCAGCAAAAGCAGCCACUGAUCCACAUGUUUACUGUGUAUGCUUUCAUCAAGAGUCUGUAAAGCCUUUAAUGCAUUUAGCUGGAUAUUCCCUCAGGUCACUUUUUAUCCACAGGGCUCCUUUAAACAAUAUUCUGUACCUCCCAAACUAAAUGUACAGCUGUUCUGUUCUCAUUUACCUACUGACAUUACCACUGCGUGAAUGUCUGCAGGCCCUCACUCAUUCCUUGUGACAGAAAAACAGAGAAGAGAAUACUUCAUGUGCAGCAAACUCAUUCAAGAUGUUAAUAUAUUGCAUUAUGUUACAACACGAAUAGGAAAAUAUUUGAAACAAUCUAAUCCUCAGGAAAUAUGCAUGGGCUGCAGAAAUGAAAAAGCCUGUCGAGGGUGAUGACAUCAUGAUGA